rnacentral:lncRNA from 1 species
CUUUCCUUCAGCUAGUCUGGGGGACAGACGCCUCCUCUUCUGGGCCAGUGAUGUGGUCAGGCUGCUCCCUCUGGGAGAUCUGCUGCCAGAGCAGAGGAAUCCUACCCCAUGAGCUGGGGAGGAAAUGAGGCUAGUCUUCUUUUAAGAGUGUGGUGAAUCACCCCCAGCCUCCCUGGGAACCAGCUAUACUCUGCACUUGUUAUCUUCUUUGCAUUCCUGCUGACAUCCUGGAAAGGGAUGAGAGAGAGGUGGAGAGAGAAGAAAUGGAAAUUCAAAAGUUUUGACGGCAGAGGAAAAUUGUGCUUAUUUCCAGAAUGAGACGAACAAGGUCCUGGGUCCCUACAUGUCAUACUGGCUAGAGACUGGGAAACAGAUUAACUGAGAGAAGCCAUCAAGCCUGAAGAGACAUCGUGUUUGAAAUGUGUAAGGCACAGUGUACCCGCCGUGGAUCAAAACAACCUGAAGGACAGACAGACAGACACACCGAGGAUCAGCAGAUAUCAGUGGGGACAGGUGCUGAUGAUGGUGCAAAUGAGAGUCAUGAAGGAAAGUUAAAUGAUGACCAAAGACCAAGUACCUUCCCCACAAUGCUUUGACAAGCGCUUUUAUAAGCACCCUGGAAUUUAGACACUACCCGGGGAGAAAAGGAAAGGGAGACAAGCAUGAAUUGUCUGAGAAACCCCUGAAUUAAUCAUGUGUACCCCAAUGCAACAAGGAUCUAGAUAUAGAAUAAUUUUAAUUAUAGAAAACAAAAUUAUAUUUUACCCACCCAUAUUUGAUGCCCAUGAAUUUCACAUCUACCUUACGUGCACAUAAAAUUCAAGCUUAGAUAGACGGAAAACAAAAAAUCAAGAAGCAAUAUUUGCCUUCUAAUAACUUAUCUAUUGGAGGAGGUAAAAGAUAGAAAAGUAGUUCAGAUGACAAAUACUAAAAGAGUUAGGAACUUCUGCUUCCACUUACGAUGAAGGAACUUGUACUCAAUCCAUCCACUUUGUAAUUCUCCUUGAGCUGCUGUAAUAAAGUACCACAAACUGGGUGACUUA